rnacentral:rRNA from 1 species
UACGGAGGGUGCGAGCGUUAAUCGGAAUUACUGGGCGUAAAGCGCACGCAGGCGGUUUGUUAAGCUAGAUGUGAAAGCCCCGGGCUCAACCUGAGAUGGUCAUUUAGAACUGGCAGACUAGAGUCUUGGAGAGGGGAGUGGAAUUCCAGGUGUAGCGGUGAAAUGCGUAGAUAUCUGGAGGAACAUCAGUGGCGAAGGCGACUCCCUGGCCAAAGACUGACGCUCAUGUGCGAAAGUGUGGGUAGCGAACAGG